rnacentral:rRNA from 1 species
GAUGAACGCUGGCGGCGUGCUUAACACAUGCAAGUCGAACGGUGAAGCAGAGCUUGCUCUGUGGAUCAGUGGCGAACGGGUGAGUAACACGUGAGCAACCUGCCCCGGACUCUGGGAUAAGCGCUGGAAACGGUGUCUAAUACCGGAUAUGAGCUGCGAUCGCAUGGUCAGCAGUUGGAAAGAUUUUUCGGUCUGGGAUGGGCUCACGGACUAUCAGCUUGUUGGUGAGGUAAUGGCUCACCAAGGCGUCGACGGGUAGCCGGCCUGAGAGGGUAACCGGCCACACUGGGACUGAGACACGGCCCAGACUCCUACGGGAGGCAGCAGUGGGGAAUAUUGCACAAUGGGCGGAAGCCUGAUGCAGCAACGCCGCGUGAGGGAUGACGGCCUUCGGGUUGUAAACCUCUUUUAGCAGGGAAGAAGCGAGAGUGACGGUACCUGCAGAAAAAGCGCCGGCUAACUACGUGCCAGCAGCCGCCGCUG